UGGGCUUGACAUCCCACGAACCUUCCCGAAAGGGUUGGGUGCCCGCAAGGGAGCGUGGAGACAGGUGGUGCAUGGCUGUCGUCAGCUCGUGUCGUGAGAUGUUAGGUUAAGUCCCGCAACGAGCGCAACCCUCACCCCUUGUUGCGACCGGGUAAAGCCGAGCACUCUAGGGGAACUGCUAGCGUCAAGCUGGAGGAAGGCGGGGAUGACGUCAAGUCAUCAUGCCCCUUACGCCCUGGGCUACACACGUGCUACAAUGGGGCCGACAAAGAGACGCAAAGCCGCGAGGUAGAGCAAAACUCAAAAACGGUCUCUAAGUUCAGAUUGCAGUCUGCAACUCGACUGCAUGAAGGAGGAAUCGCUAGUAAUCGCGCAUCAGCACGGCGCGGUGAAUACGUUCCCGGGCCUUGUACACACCGCCCGUCACACCACGAAAGCCGGCUGUACUCGAAGUCGCUGAG
rnacentral:rRNA from 1 species